ACCANCCACCAUACCACUACACAUCGCCACCGCCACCUACAGAAUCUCCUCCUCCACCAUACCAUUACUCCUCACCCCCACCACCUAAGAAGUCACCUCCUCCACCAUACCAUUACACAUCACCGCCGCCACCUACAGAAUCUCCUCCUCCACCGUACCAUUACUCCUCACCACCUCCACCUAAGAAAUCACCUCCUCCACCAUACCACUACACAUCACCACCACCACCUACAGAAUCUCCUCCUCCGCCAUAUCAUUACUCCUCACCCCCACCGCCUAAGAAAUCACCUCCUCCACCAUAUUACUACACAUCACCCCCUCCACCAGUAAAAUCGCCUCCACCUCCCGUGUAUAUCUACGGUUCUCCUCCACCCCCAGUUUAUUAGGCUUCCAUAAAUUGGUCUCUUGCAAACUAUAAUUAUGCUUUAUUUCGGGUACUAGUACAAUAAAGAAGGCUCCACAAGGAGAUGUUUGAAAGCUAGUUCAUCUACACCCAUUCCGUUUCUAAUAAGGUCUUCAACGUUGCACUCCACGACACCAAUCUUUUAUGUUGUGACCAUUUCUUUUCUAUUACGUCGUUGUAAGACAUCUCUAUACGAAGAAAUGUUGGAAGGGUUAGAUAUUUAUUACGAAAAAAAAAUAUGAAUUGGUUACCGUUGGAAGAGGGUUAUAAGAGUGUUUGUGGCUUUUUCAUUGUUUUUUUUCCAUGUUAAAUUUAUCAUUGUAUAAAUAGGUAGAUGAUGGUAUUUAUAUAUAUAUGAUUGAUUAAUUUCAUCCUUUUUU